UACGUAGGGCGCGAGCGUUGUCCGGAUUUAUUGGGCGUAAAGAGCUCGUAGGCGGCUCGUUGCGUCAGCUGUGAAAACCCGCGGCUCAACCGUGUGGUCUGCAGUCGAUACGGGCAGGCUAGAGUUCGGUAGGGGGAGACUGGAAUUCCUGGUGUAGCGGUGAAAUGCGCAGAUAUCAGGAGGAACACCGGUGGCGAAGGCGGGGUCUCUGGGGCCGAUACUGACGCUGAGGGAGCGAAAAGCGUGGGGGGAGCGAAACAGGG
rnacentral:rRNA from 1 species